rnacentral:lncRNA from 1 species
UGAGAAUUCCAGGCAUGCAUAUAAUAUAUUUUGAUCAAAUAUACCUCUUAUUCUUCCCUUUAACUUCUUUUGGAUACUACACAUGUAUACACAUACAACAUAGCCCACUCCCAAAUUUACUUCUUCCUGAAAUAACCCUUUGAGUCCAGUUAGUGGUACCUGUAUGUGUAUAGGCAUGUACCAUCCAUUGGAACAUAAGCAACUUCCCAGGGACCACAGGCCCAUCAAUUGUCAGUACUCUUCAUAGGGUUCAGACCUCCUGAAUGCUUUCCCACUCAUGCUGGAAUUUUGACUAGCUUGGUCUUUUGUGGAUCUUGAACAGGUCAGGUAACCACACUCUGUGGUUUUAUGACUACAAUACCGUGUCAUGUCCAGGAGUCGGCAUUUUAUGGCAUAUCUUUGCUUCGUCCGGUUUUUAUAACCUCAUGCCCCAGUCAGUGUUCCCUGAAUCUUGGUGGUGCACAUUGUAACAUAGAUGAUAGUUGUCCCGUUUAGGCCUGAGCACUCAAAGUCACCUAUUUUUUGCCACUUUGACCAGUUAGAGAUUUUUGUAUUAACUAUUGUGCAAUGCAAAAAGAAGCUUCUCUGACCAGGGUUGGGCAGUACAGAUUGGUGGGUAUGAAUGCAGUCAUUUAGAAAACGGCUUGAUAAUGUGGGCAUGUAGCAAACAACAAACAGUACUAGGUUCCCCUGGGGCCUAUGAAUACCUGACUCAGGCUUUUCACAAGAGUUACAGUCCCAGGCAUGAAGUCCUUCCUGUGGAGCUGGCCUCAAAUACAAUCAGAAAGUACUUGGUUACCUUCUAGUGGUUAUGCUACUGUUUUACCCUCAGUGAGCACAUCUUGCCUGGGAAGGUCAGUAUUUUAGCAUUCAGAGCCCAACACUGGGUAAGGCUUUUGGUGUCUUCUCCCCCAGCAGAUAGCAUAGCACCUCUGGGACUAUGAAAGCUAGCAACCAGAGAGAACAUUGCUAAGGCAGUUCUUUAUAUCUUGUAACCAAAAUAUGUAUUGUUUUCAGCUGUAGGGCUUCAACACCAAGUUAGGAUAUACUUUGUCUAGAAGAUGGGUAGUAGUGUUAAGACAGUUCUCCCUAUGUAGCCCUGGCCUGACUAUAGACCAGGCUGGCAUGAAACUCACAGAGAUCAACCUGUCUCUGCCUUCUAAGUGCUAUAAUUAAAGGCAUGUACCUCCAUGACUGUGUUUAAUUCUUUGGGUUGUUUUUUUCACACUAUUGAUAGUAUCUAUACUAUUUUAUCUUUUUUUUUAGAUUUAUGUGUAUAAAUGCUUUGCCUACACAUUUGCACCACAUUUAUGCCUGGUGCACAAGGAGGUCAGAAGAGAGUGUUGGAUCCUCAAACUGGAGUUAGCAAUGUUGUACGCUGCUGUGUAGGUGAUAGGAAUCAAACCUGAUGGAUCCUCUGGAAGAGUAUUUAGUGUUCUUAAUCACAGAGCCAUCACUCCAGCCCUCAAGUCAUUUUGUCAUUAGUUCUCAGAUUAUUUCUGUCAGUAUUCUAUAGUAAUCCUCUUCUUUGUAUUCAAAUUUUCUUUUCCCUGACUACUUGCAUUCAGAGUAUUCCCAUCUCUCAAGGUCAGUUCUAACUGCUUUCAUCUUAUGCUUUCUCAUUAGUGCUUUCUAGAAGAUUUCAUGGUGACUUACAGUUUCUGUCUGAUAAUCACCAUAGAUGAAAUAUAUAAAUUUCUUCCUGUUUUCAGAUGACUUUUUUCAAGUUACUUUUUUGUUGCCUAACUCAUCUCAAGCUUGAGAUAUUCCCACCUUAACCUUUUACUGAGGUCUACAUUCCCCAAAAUAUACACUUUUUCAUAUUUGUCUCAAUAUAGUAUUUUGCAAAUGACUUUACCUGUUUAUCAAUAAGUAUGCAUUGAGUGAGUGAUGUUUUAUUUUUUUCCAAUAUGAUCCUUUGUGGCACAGGUAAAAGACAAGGCAAAAAAGAUACUUGGGUAUCACAUCCAACUAAAUUAAUGGGUGGAUAUGGCCUUAAUUUUACUUCAAGAUUAGUAGGUCUUAGAAAUUUUCUUUAUAAUUUAUCUGACUUUUCUUUUUCAGAUAAAGUGACUUUUUACAUUUUUAUUUUAUUUUUCUCCUUGAUAGGCUAAACUCAUUUUUAAAUUAGCAUUUACUAUUCCAGUUUUAGUAUGUGUGCUUCUAAAGCGUGUUUGAAUAUAUAUUGUUUAAUUAUUUUAUUUUCAUGUGCAUUGUUGUUUUGCCUGUGUGUAUGCUUGUAUGAGGGUGUUAGAUAUUCUGGAGUUACAAAAAUUUUGUUCUUAAUUACAUUUAUUUGUGUCCAUAUGCAUACACAUGUGUGUAGGCUCACAUGUUCACAGAGAUCAGAGAACAACCUUCAGAAACUGGCUUUCCUUCCUUCCAUCACAUAGGUUCCCAGAAUCAGACUAUAGUUGUCAUCUCUACUUACUGAGCCACCUUGCUGGGUGUACUGGCUGGUUUUGUGUGUCAGCUUGACACAAGCUGGAGUUAUCACAGAGAAAGGCGCUUCAGUUGGGGAAGUGCCUCCAUGAGAACCAGCUGCAAGGCAUUUUCUCAAUUAGUGAUCAAGGGAGAAGGGCCCCUUGUGGGUGGGACCAUCUCUGGGCUCAUAGUCUUGGGUUCUAUAAGAGAGCAGGCUGAGCAAGCCAGGGGAAGCAAGCCAGUAAGUAACAUCCCUCCAUGGCCUCUGCAUCAGCUCCUGCUUCCUGACCUGCCUGAGUUCCAGUCCUGACUUCCUUCAGUGAUGAACAUCAAUGUGGAAGUGCAAGCUGAAUAAACCCUUUCCUCCCCAACUGCUUCUUGGUCAUGAUGUUUGUGCAGGAAUAGAAACCCUGACUAAGAAACUGGGUCUAUCUACUAUUUUUUUUUUCUUUAAAAGCAAAACAAAACAAUGCCUCUACUCCAAAUAAAUUAUG